GACGAACGCUGGCGGCGUGCUUAACACAUGCAAGUCGAACGAUGAAGCGUGAAGCUUUUGUUUUGGUGGAUUAGUGGCGAACGGGUGAGUAAUACGUGAGUAACCUGCCCUUGUCUUUGGGAUAAGCCUGGGGAACUGGGUCUAAUACCGGAUAUUCUGCUUCUGCCGCAUGGUGGGGGUUGGAAGGAUUUUUCCUGGAAUUGGGUGGGCUCGCGGCCUAUCAGCUUGUUGGUGGGGUGAUGGCUUACCAAGGCUUUGACGGGUAGCCGGCCUGAGAGGGUGGUCGGUCGCACUGGGACUGAGAUACGGCCCAG
rnacentral:rRNA from 1 species